rnacentral:rRNA from 1 species
AUUGAACGCUGGCGGCAUGCCUUACACAUGCAAGUCGAACGGUAACGGGCCUUCGGGUGCCGACGAGUGGCGAACGGGUGAGUAAUACAUCGGAACGUGCCCGAUCGUGGGGGAUACGAGGCGAAAGCUUUGCUAAUACCGCAUACGAUCUACGGAUGAAAGCAGGGGACCGCAAGGCCUUGCGCGGACGGAGCGGCCGAUGGCAGAUUAGGUAGUUGGUGGGAUAAAAGCUUACCAAGCCGACGAUCUGUAGCUGGUCUGAGAGGAUGAUCAGCCACACUGGGACUGAGACACGGCCCAGACUCUUACGGGAGGCAGCAGUGGGGAAUUUUGGACAAUGGGCGCAAGCCUGAUCCAGCCAUGCCGCGUGCAGGAUGAAGGCCUUCGGGUUGUAAACUGCUUUUGUACGGAACGAAAAGCCUUCUUUUAAUACAGGAGGGUCAUGACGGUACCGUAAGAAUAAGCACCGGCUAACUACGUG